UCAAAGCAUUUCUCCCGCUUCACACAUGAACCAACACCCAGCACGUGCAAGAGCUGGGAAGACCCAUUCAUCAGACACUCAUCAUACCCCAGUCCACAGGAGGGGGCUUGGGCCCAGCUGGCCUUCGCAGUAUCACAGAGGUCUACACUGCCCCUGUGCGUCCUUAGCAGGACCAAUCAGAACCCUUCCUUGGGCUUGACAUUGGACAUAGGAAGCACACUUGUCAUAUGGCUGGGGGUUUUGACCCAAAUGUCACCUUUCAGCCACUAUGGAGCUAUGGAAAGCCAACCUUCCUGCUGAGAGGGAAUGAAUGGAGCCAGCACAGACAAGGAGGCAGAGCCUGAGCCCUGGCUCCUGUCAAAGCAGGACAAUCCCAGGGCAUGUCAACAGGAAGCAGAUCUCUUUUUUGCUGGCCGAGCUGGUUUUCUGGCAUUUGAAGCUGGGAGUCCUUUUUCCUGCACAAAAUUGAGGAUGGCCACAGGGUGGGGGAGGGCAAGGCAGGAGGAAGUGGGAUGGGCUCAGAGCCUCCUUUUGGUUCCAGCUGCACAGGCACAUUAAGUGCAGAAAAGUCACAACUUUGCUCCACAGAGAAGGCAAUUGGAGAAAGGCAGUGGGAAAAGGCCAGAUCCCAAGGGCUGGGACACACAGGUGGGACUCACUCACCGGACUGCCAAUCACUGACCAGAGAAAAAGGCUUAGAACAGGUGCUGUGGCGUCACCUUUCUUCCCCCUUGUUCUUGGGGAGACACUGGGGAAACCCUCUGGUUUGUUUGGGGUACUUUUGGUACUAGAGAUUAAACCCAAGGGUGCUUAACCACUGAGCCACAUUACAUCCCUAGACCUUUUCAUUUUUUGAGACAGGGUCUCACUAAGUGGCUUAGGGUGUUGGUUAAUUGCUGAGGCUGGCCUUGAACUUGUGAUCCUCCUGCUUUAGCCUCCUAAUUCACUGGGAUUAUAGGCAUAUGCUGCCUAUAAUCUUAGCAUAUCUUAGCCACCACACCUGACUAAGAACUCUUGAGACAAUGAAAAGAAAAAAAACCCUAUGGGGGGAGGGGAGACAAGGUCAUCAAGGCUUGCUGUAUCCAAUGACCUACUAGUGGCCAUUCAAUGGGUGAUGGGGUAUGAUCAGCGGGGGACAGUUCACCCUGUCCAUUAAAUGAUCCUGGAAGGAAGAUAGAACAAUAUGGCAUUACUCAAAUGCUGGGCACCUCCCCAGUCUAGAAGGCAGAGCUUAGAAGCAGAAAGGUUGAAACAACCAAAAUGUCCUUCAAAAGACAAUGAAGCUGGGCAUGGUGGCACAUGCCUGAAAUCCCAGUGGCUUGGAAGCUAAAGCAGGAGGAUUGCAAGUUCAAAGGAAGCCUCAGCAAUUUACAAUUUAGCGAGACCCUGUCUCAAAAUAAAAUAUAAAAAGGACUGGGUAUGUGGCUCAGUGGUUCAGUGCCCU
rnacentral:lncRNA from 1 species